rnacentral:tRNA from 1 species
CGGGGUGUAGCUUAGCCUGGUAGAGCGCCUGGUUUGGGACCAGGAGGUCGAUGGUUCGAAUCCAUUCACCCCGACCA